rnacentral:ribozyme from 15 species
UGAGCAUAACAGGGCCACCCCAAAGCGUUCACAUUGUGGCCCCUGUCAGAUUCUGGUAAAUCUGCGAGUUCUGCU